UCCCCGAUAGCUCAGUCGGUAGAGCGCCGGACUGUUAAUCCGUAGGUCCCUGGUUCGAGGCCAGGUCGGGGAGCUA
rnacentral:tRNA from 1 species